GAUGUGGGGGCAGGGGGCAGCACUGAGAGAGCGUGGGUGGAAUGGGACAUAAUAGGGACAAAAACCUCAAAGGUGAUGAGUACGAUGAACGAAAAUGGAGUCAGCAUGUGCGCAGGAAUCUGGAGGGAUGCCUCCGGAGUUAGUUCAUUAUCACCCUUUCUCGCACGUGCAAACGCAAAUUGGGACUUCGGGGUUAAAAAGAAAAAAUCGCAGAGUCCCGGUUAUAGUGCUGCUUCUGGAAUUUAGCAAAAAUAAAUAAAUAAAUAAAUAAAAUAAUCCCCUUUGUUUGAAUGCUGCAUAUGAAAACGAGAACGUUAGAAUCGAUCGCCGAUUAACCAGCCUGUCCAGCAUUUUCAAGUCGUAUAAAAUAUCCUCCGCAAGAAGUCCCUUGGAAAUUCUGAGCUGACAGGUGCCCUAAUCAUAUGCGUUGGGCUGCGUCAAAGUGAACCGUACUUAUGGACUCUAGAUUCAGUCUAAUUUGCGUAAUAAGGGUUUGUAUUUUUAUAACGGAAUAGACUGUACAACCUGAAUUUUGAACUGUAACCUUCAUAAUUUUUAUUUCACUUAGUUUCAGCAUCUUUCCUUCUGCCCGCUCUCGUGUUCUCUUUCUCUCGUUCUCUCACUCUCUCUCUCUCACACACACAUACAGAGAGAGAGAGAGAGAGAGAGAGAGAGAGCGCAACAGCAUAAAAGGAAACUGCAGCCAAUUUAAUAUGCAUGGAGAAAAGAAGCGUGAAAGACGAACAAGGAGUAAAAGGUACGUGUAACUGUGAAGACAGUUGACCGUUGUGCAGAACAUCCGUCCGUCCAUCCAUCCAUUUUUCAGCUGCUGAUCCAGUACCGGGUCACAGGGAAUCACCUUGGAGCAGAUGUCAGGUCUUUAUAGGAUGCACAUGGACAGAUGAGUGUCAUCCAUCAUCACAGUGAAUCUUUCGAGACAAAAUGGCAUCUUGAUGUGAAUCAUUUGAGGAUUCAAAGUAAGGCCCUGGUAGAUGACUACAUGCUGACGACAAUAAAUGACUGCAGUCAAUGUCACACUGCCUCCACCAGAGGACAGUAGAGAUAUACGUAUCCUUUCAAUGGGCACUUGGGUCAUUGAUUCAGCGAAUGAAUGAAAUGGAAAGCAGCGUUCCUGGCAGUGACCUCUCAGGGCUUGAUAUAAAGUACUUCUGGGUCCAUGAAAUUGACAUUUCCAAAUGAAAUUGGACAGCUUGUCUUAAACCAUCAGCAAAUAGGUCAGAUAUGCUGUAGCACAAUAUGAAUGAACACAACUUGAAGUCACCUGUGAGGCAGCAUGAACCCUGACUUGGAAAACUGUAUUCUUAAAAAGAACAAUCUGGAGAAAAAACAUAGUAGUUAAAUAGUGGAGUCUAAAUGCACUGGAACUGUAUCAGUGAGUCAGGCAGCCUGUUCUGUGCUGGAUUGGAAAUGACCUUGAGAUUCCGCCGCUCUAGACAGAUUGGGCUCGAUGUUCUCUGCUGACAUCAUCUGAUUUUCAAACGCUGCACGUCCUUCAUUAGUGCCUCAGGGCACAACAUUGCACACAGAUACAUCUAAGAGGCCAUGUAAUGUUUCUGUUCAUCUCAGGGCAGUCAGAUGAUACAGUAUGUUUUCAAUCUCACUCCAUGUAAAGUAUACAGUAUGUUAGGAUUUAUUUAAUAUGUACAUCAUCAUCAUCAUCAUCAUCCUUGUAGACAGAUCCUCACUAUGAACAGUAAAUUUAUUCAUUGGCUUAUAAGGAUAUA